rnacentral:rRNA from 1 species
UGGAGCAAUCCAUGAGUAAAGUGGCGACCGGGUGAGUAACACGUGACUAACCUACCUUCGAGUGGGGGAUAACCUCGGGAAACCGAGGCUAAUACCGCAUAAUAUCGCAAGAUCAAAGCAGCAAUGCGCUGGAAGCGGGGGUCGCGGCUGAUUAGCUAGUUGGCGGGGUAACGGCCCACCAAGGCGAAGAUCGGUAGCCGGCCUGAGAGGGCGCACGGCCACACUGGAACUGAAACACGGUCCAGACUCCUACGGGAGGCAGCAGUGGGGAAUUUUGCGCAAUGGGGGAAACCCUGACGCAGCAACGCCGCGUGGAGGAUGAAGCCCCUUGGGGCGUAAACUCCUUUCGACCAAGACGAUAAUGACGGUACUGGUGGAAGAAGCACCGGCUAACUCUGUGCCAGCAGCCGCGGUAAUACAGAGGGUGCGAGCGUUGUUCGGAAUUAUUGGGCGUAAAGGGCGCGUAGGCGGUGCCACAAGUCACUUGUGAAAUCCCCGGGCUUAACCCGGGGCCUGCAGGCGAAACUGUGGUGCUGGAGUAUGGGAGAGGUGCGUGGAAUUCCCGGUGUAGCGGUGAAAUGCGUAGAUAUCGGGAGGAACACCUGUGGCGAAAGCGGCGCACUGGACCAUAACUGACGCUGAGGCGCGAAAGCUAGGGGAGCAAACAGGAUUAGAUACCCUGGUAGUCCUAGCCCUAAACGAUGAUUGCUUGGUGUAGCAGGUACCCAAUCCUGCUGUGCCGCAGCUAACGCGAUAAGCAAUCCGCCUGGGGAGUACGGUCGCAAGGCUGAAACUC